CAGCCGCCGCGGUAAUACGGAGGGCGCGAGCGUUACCCGGAUUCACUGGGCGUAAAGGGGGUGUAGGCGGCUCGGUAAGUCGGGUGUGAAAUCCCACGGCUCAACCGUGGAAUUGCGCCCGAAACUGCCGAGCUUGGGGCCGGUAGAGGGAGACGGAACUGCCGGUGUAGGGGUGAAAUCCGUAGAUAUCGGCAGGAACGCCGGUGGGGAAGCCGGUCUCCUGGGCCGCGCCCGACGCUGAGGCCCGAAAGCUAGGGGAGCAAACCGGAUUAGAUACCCGGGUAGUCCUAGCCGUAAACGAUGCCCACUAGGUGUGGGGGAGUAUUUCCUCCGUGCUGUAGCUAACGCGUUAAGUGGGCCGCCUGGGGAGUACGCCCGCAAGGGUGAAACUUAAAGGAAUUGGCGGG
rnacentral:rRNA from 1 species